UGCAACCUCUGCCUCCCGGGUUCAAGCAAUUCUCAUGCCUCAGUCCCCCGAGGAGCUCAGAUUACAGGGGAAGAGUGAAGGACAAUAUGGAACGAGGCCAGGAGUGUUGUGUUCUCUCCAAAUGGAAGGAAACCUCUGGAAUGGGAAAGAAGCAUUCCCUCCUAACAUGGUGUGUUCCUAGAAGGAGAUUCUGAGGAAGACAUGGACCUUCUCAGAAGAAAGUGCACUCCAGAUACCUGAAAAUGUACAUUCUACUUGGUGUUAUUCAGAAAUCUAUGGAAAUCAAUCCAUGGCCUACUUUGGAAUCCAUAGAUCACAAAUCCCAUUUUAAACACAAAUCUAAGUUUAAAUAACUAUGUUCAUUGUGAUUAUAAAACAAAAAUUAAAUCUUAAAUUUUUGAUGGAAUACAUAUAUAAUAAAAAUAAUAUUUUAAAUACAAUAGAUAUGGACAAAACCUUCAAGGAAAGCAAUACACCUAAAUACACACGUGCACACACAUACCAGGAAGCAAGGGGGUGAGUGGCAGGAAAAAAAUGCAUAUUUUUUCUCAUUUGUUCAGGGAAUAGAUUAAAAGAUAUGGCAAUGUUUGGUAGGUUUAAGCAAGUAUAUAAAGAUAUAAAAGUAACAUUUAGAAAAAUUGGAGAAAAAGAAUACAUUCUAAUGGUGAGAAAAAAUAAAUACAGAAUAUUACAGAUAGAUUAAUUAAACACGGUAACAUUUUAAUAAUCAGUGUAUCUAGGCAGUGAGUAUAUGGCUGUUCGUUGCAUAUCAUUCUGUCAACUUUUCUAUAUAUUAAAUUUUUUUCACAAUAAAACCAUGUGUGAUGAGAAAAAGAAGCAAACUAUGCAGUAAAGGCUAAAGAAGAAAAAUCAUAAAAGCUAUUCUAGAAUUGCUCUAAUAAAAUUUAAAAACAAAUCUCAAACGGAGUAAGCUGAGUAAUGUAGCUGUUUCCCUCUCACAAUUCAAAUACUCCUUAAAAUAAAACCAGUAAGUCCAAAUUACUCAGAAACAUAAUACUCAUAAGGUGUGGCAUCUAAUCAUCUAAUCAAAAAUUAUAAGAUAGAGAUGAAGCAGGAAACUGUGACCCAUAAUGAAGAGAAAAAAUUCAAUCAUAGAAACGGGUAUAGAAAUAACAGAGCUGGUGAAAUUAUCAGAAAAUGAUGUUUAAAACCACAAGUGUAAAUAUGUUCAAGGAUUUAAAGGAAAACAUGAAGAAAUAAAUAGAACAUAUGGA
rnacentral:lncRNA from 10 species